AGCAGCCGCGGUAAUUCCAGCUCCAAUAGCGUAUAUUAAAGUUGUUGCAGUUAAAAAGCUCGUAGUUGAAUUUCGGGAUCAAUACGUCGGUCGUGCCUCGGUACGUACUGGCGUCAUUGAUUUCUCCCUUCUGAAGAACCGUGAUGCCAUUAACUUGGUGUCAUGGGAAAUCAGGACUGUUACUUUGAAAAAUUAGAGUGUUUAAAGCAGGCUCACGCUUGAAUACAUUAGCAUGGAAUAAUGAAAUAGGACGUUCGACCCUAUUUUGUUGGUUUCUAGGAUCAACGUAAUGAUUAAUAGGGAUAGUUGGGGGCAUUAGUAUUCAAUUGUCAGAGGUGAAAUUCUUGGAUUUAUUGAAGACUAACUACUGCGAAAGCAUUUGCCAAGGAUGUUUUCAUUAAUACAAGAACGAAAGUUAGGGGAUCGAAGACGAUCAGAUACCGUCGUAGUCUUAACC
rnacentral:rRNA from 1 species